GGAAGGUCACAGUGGGCAGAAUGCUCGUGCACCUGGUCAGGUUCGGAAGAAAGCAGCCAUCACGUUUUUUUCUGGGUCAUUGUUGGCCUUCCGCU
rnacentral:SRP_RNA from 1 species